rnacentral:rRNA from 1 species
GAAGCCCUUCGGGGUGGAUUAGUGGCGAACGGGUGAGUAACACGUGGGCAAUCUGCCCUGCACUCUGGGACAAGCCCUGGAAACGGGGUCUAAUACCGGAUACGACUUUCGGAGGCAUCUCUGAAGGUGGAAAGCUCCGGCGGUGCAGGAUGAGCCCGCGGCCUAUCAGCUUGUUGGUGGGGUGAUGGCCUACCAAGGCGACGACGGGUAGCCGGCCUGAGAGGGCGACCGGCCACACUGGGACUGAGACACGGCCCAGACUCCUACGGGAGGCAGCAGUGGGGAAUAUUGCACAAUGGGCGAAAGCCUGAUGCAGCGACGCCGCGUGAGGGAUGACGGCCUUCGGGUUGUAAACCUCUUUCAGCAGGGAAGAAGCGAAAGUGACGGUACCUGCAGAAGAAGCGCCGGCUAACUACGUGCCAGCAGCCGCGGUAAUACGUAGGGCGCAAGCGUUGUCCGGAAUUAUUGGGCGUAAAGAGCUCGUAGGCGGCUUGUCGCGUCGGAUGUGAAAGCCCGGGGCUUAACCCCGGGUCUGCAUUCGAUACGGGCAGGCUAGAGUUCGGUAGGGGAGAUCGGAAUUCCUGGUGUAGCGGUGAAAUGCGCAGAUAUCAGGAGGAACACCGGUGGCGAAGGCGGAUCUCUGGGCCGAUACUGACGCUGAGGAGCGAAAGCGUGGGGAGCGAACAGGAUUAGAUACCCUGGUAGUCCACGCCGUAAACGUUGGGAACUAG